CACUUUUGGUGCCAAAGGCAAUUGCUGUUUUUCAGGGAAAGGACUUUCCAGUGAAACAAACUGAGAAAAAAAUGACUGAGUGGUUGAUCUUCCCUCCACCCAGCAUCAGUGUUUCGUGGCUGUGUGUAGGGACCGCCAAGCAGCGUGAAGCACAGUGUAGGACAGAGGCUCCUCCGGGUGCUGGUGCUCCCACUGACACGGAUGUAAUUCACUUAUUUACAACUGGCCCUUGUCGUUUCACUGCAAGGCUUCUCAUUCAAGAGCUGAUCCUCUCCAUGUCGCUCCUCCUUCCCGAAGCUGGCCUCCUGUUUCAGAAGUCUACAUGUUCUCAUAUUCAGCUGCGUCAGGCAUUUCUGUAA
rnacentral:lncRNA from 1 species